rnacentral:rRNA from 1 species
CAAUAGCGUAUAUUAAAGUUGUUGCAGUUAAAAAGCUCGUAGUUGGAUUUGUGGCGUACGGGGUGUUCCGGGCACUUGUUGUCUGAGUAACCUGCUGUUGCCAUCCUUGGGUGGAACCUGUGUGGCAUUAGGUUGUCGUGCAGGGGAUGCCCAUCAUUUACUGUGAAAAAAUUAGAGUGUUCAAAGCAGGCUUAUGCCGUUGAAUAUAUUAGCAUGGAAUAAUGAGAUAGGACUUUUUUGCUAUUUUGUUGGUUUGCGCAAAGAGGUAAUGAUUAAUAGGGACAGUUGGGGGUAUUCGUAUUCCAUUGUCAGAGGUGAAAUUCUUGGAUUUUUGGAAGACGAACUACUGCGAAAGCAUUUACCAAGGAUGUUUUCAUUAA